UCCCUGGUGGUCUAAUGGUUAAGACGCCUGCUUCCAAUGCAGAGGGUGCAGGUUCAAUCCCUGGUCAGGGAA